GUGCCAUUAGCUCAGCUGGAUAGAGCAUCCGCCUUCUAAGCGGAUGGUCACAGGUUCAAGUCCUGUAUGGCGCACCA
rnacentral:tRNA from 1 species